ACGGAGCACAAAAUGGCUGGACCGUUAGCAGCAUGCUAACCUCCUAGCUUGCAGAUAUAAAUAACCUCCGUAACAAUGGAGCCACUAUCGACGCCAUCAUGACUUAUGUAACGUACUGCUUACUCACAGCGGCCACGCGGAGCGGCUCGACGGGUACAUCCGCAUUUUUACGCCAGAUAGGGCUCCCCUCCCCCCGCUGUCAGACAGCGCCGGAGCCGCGGAAGUUUCCAGAACCGCUGCAUCGGAUCAGCUAACAUGCUAAAAAGCCACUGGGGCAUGGAGACGCCACGACUGUCUGGACUCUAGUCACUUUACAACAUACAGAAUGACAGGAUGAAGAUGAACCCUGGACUCUGCUCCUGGAGAACGGCCGGCCUUCAUCUGGAGAACGGCCGGCAUUCAGGACACCCCGAGCGCUGAGCAGCAUUGGUCUUGUAUCCUGUCGGUUGAUGUGAGAAAAUCCAGAUGUGAUUUUGACUGAGCCACGUGCAGGAAAACACUCCUGAUCGAUCAUCUGGAACCUGCCGGAGAACCAGAGGAACCUGUGGAUUCAGGUUCUGGUUUUUAAGAUGUUAACUGGAUCUCUGGGUUUGGUCAGCGCUCCAUUUUCUGGACAGUUUCUGCCGGAACCUUAAGGCUGGUUUAGAACCUCGUCAACUUGAAGAACCGUCCUAAGGAACGUAGGCGGUUCUCUCAGUGUUUGUGGUUCUGCUGAAGAUCCAACAGCUUCAUCUGAACUCAGAGACCAGAACCAACACUUACUGGACGAAACCCCAGCAGAACAGGAACCAGAACAUAUGAAGAACUUUAUGUUGGUGAACUUCAGAAGAUCACAUCGACUUUUCUUUGGUUCUAAAAAUGUUCUAAGACGGUUCUGCAAGGUUCUAGUAAUGUUCCCAUCAUUUUAAAAAAUGUUCUUAAAACAUCUGCUGAAUGUCGCAUUGAAUGUUUUGUGGAAGAAAGUUCUACAACAUCCAUAAAAGAUCUUCAGACCAUCCUCAGAACACUGCAGGAAAACAUUCUACGUUUGUUAAUGUCACGUUACAGAAACAUUCUGGUUUGAGAACGUUACUCAGUUCUCAUCGCAGAACCUAAACCUCAGAGGAAUCUAAUCUAAACGGAGAAAUGCCCUGAGAACGUUCUCUGAACAUUAAAACAUUCUCUGACAUUCUUCUUAAAACCAUCAGGUUCCUCCAUAGAACUAAAAUGAAGACUUUUCUGAAGAAGCAAACUCUGAAGCAACAGAUUGAUCAGUUCAUCUUCUGAUGGUCUCCAGAUGUUCAGAUUACAGAGAAUCUCCAGCAUCUGGAUUAAUGAAGCCAUAACCAGCUGAUCUGGAUUAAACUAAAGCCAUGUUUCCUGCAGAUGUUGAUCGUUGAGGUUUGUCCACCUCUAAGACGCUAAUCUGACCACAGAUCCAUGAAUAUCAAAGUUCUGGGUUCAAAAAGCUGCUGAAGGUUCCAGCCUCUCUCUGUGGCUCAGUUUAAACCAGGUUCUCUUUAGGUUCGGAUCUUCUCUGGACCCUCAAAGCCUUGAAGUUCACACGAUUCUAACGUGUGUAGAACAGAAGCUCCUUCAAAGCUCGUCUCCACCUGUAGAACAUCACACCAACAUCUGGACUAGAGGUUCUGUCUCGUGUUUCCCUCCAGUAGGUCUGAGGUUCAACAGCAGCGAUGGAAUGAAGGAUGAAGCAUCGAAACACAGAAUAAAAAACAAUAAAAUAAGUCACCAUAGAGUUCAACACAUCAAAGAGUUCUCAGAUUUAAAGUCCUUUUCUUGUUUCCGCUUCCAGACGAAGUAUUUUACAGUAAAGUCUCUGCUCUACGUCCUGCUGCUGGUCUGGUUCCAGUUACGUUCAGUUGUUCUCAAACAGCGACAGCAGGUCGUCGUUGUUGUUGUUGGGGAGGUCUGGAGGUCCGAGGUAGGACAGCAGCUCGUCUGGGUUGGUCAGCUCUGGAAGCAGCUGCAGAAAUAGACAUGGAGAACGUUCAACAAGGAGUUCCUCAGGGUUCUAUACCAGGUUCUCUGUAUUAUCAUUUCAUAGUACACACUUGCAGUACUUUUACUUCAUUAAGUACUUGCUGAGCUCAGUUCAGGUUUUGGAAUCAGAGUUAAAUGAAUGAAUAACUCCUGAUUAAAGUUCUCAUUUAGUGGCAAUUUCUGAUUUAUCUGCUUUGUUGUUUAGGACGUCAUUAAUAAGAGCAGAUUAAUUAUUUAUUAAUAAAGGCAAAUUUAACUUUAAUAAGCAAGACAUUUUUUAAAAAUGUAGACAGAUUUUGACACAUUUUAUGAAUAAAGGAAUCCAAAUUUACUAAGAAAAUAAACCAAAGACACAGUUUUACUUUCCUCUGUAUUAUAAUUAUUAUCAUUCUUAUUAUGAGAACAUAAAGUAAAAUCUGCUGAAUAACA